GAUCUCUCAGGGGCAAGCAUGUUUCUCUUGGAUAAGAGUGGGGUGAAAGGCACUAUCGAAGUCUGAAUGCUGGUUGCAGAAGAUAAUUUGAAGAAUGGGAACAUUAAGCCAUACUCAUUCAACCUACUCUUUAAGAGUUUGACAGGAGGGCCUAUACCUGCAUAUGCUCCCACCUCCAUCCCAAGGGGAAAAAGAUGUCAAUGGAUGUUAGUAUAAGCUUCCUGAAGACCAACUCUCAAACAGACAAAUUUUGGACAAAAUAUGAAAAACACCUGCCUAAAGAUCUGGAGAGUAGUCAUCCGCAGGCACAGUGUUGAAGGGAGUCAAUGUGGAGAAGCAAAUAGCAAAGGGUGUCCUUAUCUGGCUUUGUUAUAAGAGUAAUGCUGGCCUCAUAAAAUGAGUUUGGAAGUUUUCCCUCCUCUUCAACUUUUGGAAGAGUUUGUUAAUCCUUCAUUAAAUGUUUGAAAGAAUUCACCCAUGAAGCCA
rnacentral:lncRNA from 1 species